AUUGAACGCUGGCGGCAGGCCUAACACAUGCAAGUCGAGCGGAUGAAGGGAGCUUGCUCCUGGAUUCAGCGGCGGACGGGUGAGUAAUGCCUAGGAAUCUGCCUGGUAGUGGGGGAUAACGUCCGGAAACGGGCGCUAAUACCGCAUACGUCCUGAGUGAGAAAGUGGGGGAUCUUAGGACCUCACGCUAUCAGAUGAGCCUAGGUCGGAUUAGCUAGUUGGUGGGGUAAAGGCCUACCAAGGCGACGAUCCGUAACUGGUCUGAGAGGAUGAUCAGUCACACUGGAACUGAGACACGGUCCAGACUCCUACGGGAGGCAGCAGUGGGGAAUAUUGGACAAUGGGCGAAAGCCUGAUCCAGCCAUGCCGCGUGUGUGAAGAAGGUCUUCGGAUUGUAAAGCACUUUAAGUUGGGAGGAAGGGCAGUAAGUUAAUACCUUGCUGUUUUGACGUUACCAACAGAAUAAGCACCGGCUAACUUCGUG
rnacentral:rRNA from 1 species